rnacentral:rRNA from 1 species
UACGUAGGGUCCGAGCGUUGUCCGGAAUUACUGGGCGUAAAGAGCUCGUAGGUGGUUUGUCGCGUUGUUCGUGAAAACUCACAGCUCAACUGUGGGCGUGCGGGCGAUACGGGCAGACUAGAGUACUGCAGGGAGACUGGAAUUCCUGGUGUAGCGGUGGAAUGCGCAGAUAUCAGGAGGAACACCGGUGGCGAAGGCGGGUCUCUGGGCAGUAACUGACGCUGAGGAGCGAAAGCCGUGGGAGCGAACAGG